CAGCAGUCGCCACGGUAAUACGUAGGGUGCAAGCGUUAAUCGGAAUUACUGGGCGUAAAGCGUGCGCAGGCGGUUAUAUAAGACAGAUGUGAAAUCCCCGGGCUCAACCUGGGAACUGCAUUUGUGACUGUAUAGCUAGAGUACGGCAGAGGGGGAUGGAAUUCCGCGUGUAGCAGUGAAAUGCGUAGAUAUGCGGAGGAACACCGAUGGCGAAGGCAAUCCCCUGGGCCUGUACUGACGCUCAUGCACGAAAGCGUGGGGAGCAAACAGGAUUAGAUACCCCAGUAGUCCCUGUCUCUUAUAC
rnacentral:rRNA from 1 species